GCACGGAGUAGCAGGACAACG
rnacentral:misc_RNA from 1 species